rnacentral:snRNA from 1 species
AUACUUACCUGGCAGGGGAGAUACCAUGAUCACGAAGGUGGUUUUCCCAGGGCGAGGCUUAUCCAUUGCACUCUGGAUGUGCUGACCCCUGCGAUUUCCCCAAAUAUGCGAAACUCAACUGCAUAAUUUGUGGUACUGGGGGACUGCGUUUGCGCUCUCCCCUA